rnacentral:rRNA from 1 species
GAUGAACGCUGGCGGCGUGCCUAAUACAUGCAAGUCGAGCGAAUGGAUUAAGAGCUUGCUCUUAUGAAGUUAGCGGCGGACGGGUGAGUAACACGUGGGUAACCUGCCCAUAAGACUGGGAUAACUCCGGGAAACCGGGGCUAAUACCGGAUAACAUUUUGAACCGCAUGGUUCGAAAUUGAAAGGCGGCUUCGGCUGUCACUUAUGGAUGGACCCGAGUCGCAUUAGCUAGUUGGUGAGGUAACGGCUCACCAAGGCAACGAUGCGUAGCCGACGUGAGAGGGUGAUCGGCCAGACUGGGACUGAGACACGGCCCAGACUCCUACGGGAGGCAGCAGUAGGGAAUCUUCCACAAUGGACGAAAGUCUGACGGAGCAACGCCGCGUGAGUGAUGAAGGCUUUCGGGUCGUAAAACUCUGUUGUUAGGGAAGAACAAGUGCUAGUUGAAUAAGCUGGCACCUUGACGGUACCUAACCAGAAAGCCACGGCUAACUACGUGCCAGCCGCCGCCGUAA